rnacentral:lncRNA from 1 species
AGACAAAAGGAGCCCGCGUCCUCCCGAGUGGGGCGGCCCACGCGGGGCCGGCAGGCGCAGCGAGCUGCCAACGGCCGCGUCCUCCGCGACCUCAGUUUCCCUCCGCGUCCCCAGUUUCCCUCCGCGUCCCCGAGCCCACCCCUUCCUCUGGACACCCGGAGCCACCCAAAGGCCCUGCCCUGCCGGAGGAUUCCGCGGGGUCGCGCCCCUUUCCGCUAUCCGUGCCCGCUGCCGCGCCUGGCGUCUCCCGAGCGCUCAGGAUGUCCUGGGGGCCUCCUGCAUUGGCGCGUUCCGUGACUGCAUUCAUCCCGGAGGAAGCUGAGGCCCAGAGAGGUCGGACUCACUCUAGGCCACACAGCUGGCAAGAGGCAGGGCCGGGAUUCGCUGCCAUCUCUGGAGGGCUCUGGACUCCGUUCUUCACCUCCGCCCUGCGGUCUCCCGGCGCUCUCCUGCAAGACAGCACUUGUGGGGCCAUCGGGCGGGGGAGGGCACAGAGAGGAGGAGCAGGCAACUGAACCCCAGCCUGGACCCGGGACCCUGCGACGGGGAGAUGAGGAGAAAACCAGGAUGAGGCCGGAGGGAGGAAAAGCGAGGCGCUUCCAGAGGCCUGCCUGUUCAGGGCCCAAGGCUGCUCCACGCCUGGAAGAGGCUUCCUCCCUUUCGCCGGGUUCCCACCAUCACACCUCCCUGGCAGCCCGCAUGCCCCAAGCUCAGAGAAUCCAGGACAGAAUCUCUGUCCCGCUGGCCGCAGGCUCUAGGUCAGGACCCUGGCCUCCUCCCAUUAGUGCUCAGCGGAGCCUCCACCCCAGCUUGUGCUAACUUCCCAGCCCAGCCUCGGGGCCCUGCAGGACCCGGCCGGGCUCUUCUCUCCACCUUCUUGCUCGGCACAUCAGGUCUUUGUGGCAACGACUGGCCCCAACCCAAAAAAAGGCCUUGGCUGAGUCUACUCCCACCUAUGCUGUCAUGCUCAGCACAGAGGUUUCCUCCUCCGGGAAGGCUUCUCUGAUGGCACGCCAUCUUAUCUUCUAUUCUGAGUUCUAAGCCCUUCUUCCAGGUGCCCAGUUAAUUCUUAAUUCUCUAGUGGGAUGCCCAUUUCCCCUACCAUGCUGGGAAGCCCUCCAGGGCAAGAUAUGUCUUAAUUACCUUCAAGUCCCUGAUCUCCAGGCAAGAGUGGGCCCAGAGGAAGCCCCACCCAGAGGGGAUGGGCCCGCCCAUUAUGUGAGGAGCCGGGAGCAACGUAGUGGCGCAGACAGGGAGUACGGGGUGAACUGCAUGGCCUCCCCUAGCUGGGCCUCGGUUUGUACCUCUGUGGUCUUCCUGCUCAACCCUGAAUAUAUCCUGCGCAGGGACUGCCAUUUGCCUUCUGACAGUGGGCGGGGACCUCUUCUUUCCAGCCCCGGCUCCUGGGAUGAACCUGGCUUUUAGCUACUCUCCUUUGACCCUUCAGUUCGUCUGAGAGCCACGAAAGGCAACACCUCUUGGGAAGAGAGACCUGUGGUUCUGAGGAUUGAGGAGUCCGAAAUGGCAACUGAAGAUGAGAGCGAAUCUAAGCAAUGCUGCUUUCCCCCGACCUACCCUGCAAAAUGGAGGUGGAAGUGGAGAAUAAGGACAAGCAGCUGGCUGGGAGAGACUGGCUGCUGGAGAUCCAGCCAGCCCCCUGGCAAGGAGGUAGGGAGUGGAAGCUGGGGGCUGCUGCCUGCCCCUGGGACCCCGAUAUUAGUUCGUCCAAGGUCAGCUCGUGCCAUUUUCUCUCACCCAAGGGGCUCAGCACAGAAAGGAGAUGGCCAGGAGCUGGGGCUGCCCCCUGGUGGGGGCUGCAGAAAUGGCUCUCCGCGCUCAGCCUGGCAUUGAAUGCCCCCUAACUGGGGACAGGGGAGCUGGAAGACUCACCCACUUCAGCUGGCAGAGGCGGGGACCUCAGACCUGAGCAUGAACAAAUCCCAAGUGAACCAAGACAGAAUCCCGCAACCAGAUUAGCCAGUUCUUGUCAAAGACAGGAUCAUCACAAAUUCAAAAAUCCCCCAGGAGAGCUUUCCCUGACCGGACUCUCCUUGCCCAGGUCUCUGCAGUUUUGUCUCUGGUGGGCGAUGGUUUGAAGGACACCUGCCUCCCCCACCAGUGGCACUGGGUCUCUUGCUCACCGCUGUGCUGCUGGGGCCAGCAAAGCACGUCACAGGCAUUCUUUCUGGGGUUGUCACGUUUUUGUUGAGCACCUACGUUGUGUUGGGUAUGCUAGGGAGACAGUGAAAGGGGUGCAGCCACUUGCUGAACUUGAUGGGGGCAGUCAUGGCCCAGUGUGAUCUACACUGAGGUGCCAGGCUCUAGGAGCCCAAGAGGGCCUGCAGAAAUGGCUGAGUGCCUACCCAAAGGUCCCUCAGAGAUGGUGCAAUUUAUGGAGUCCUUGGGUCCUUGGAAGUGGACCUGGGACCACUAGGGCUCCCAAAACCCUGAUCCAAGAGCUCAGAGUGCAGCCCCGAGCAGAAGCAGCAAGAGAAUACCCAUGUCAGGGCCGGCUGCAGGGUGAAGGGGGUUGCUCCAGGAAAGCAAGAGGUCCCCAUGGAUAGGGCGGGAAGGCGCGGAGCCUCCUUUCUGUCCUCCGCUUCCUCCAGGUGACCUCUGAUUCUCCAGGGGAUUUCCAACAGCUGCAGCAGCCUGGGCAGGCUGGAAAUAUACUGGGAAAUAUACAUGGAAGGGACAGUUGGGACUCCGGCCCCUUCUCUAGGAAGAAACAAGUUUGAUCAGGUCCCUCCCCUGCUGAAAACUCAAUGGCCACCAUUGCCUGAGCUGGCAUUGUGCAGUGUCUUCAUACUCUCCUGCCUCUCCUUAACCCUAGUCUGGGAGCAUCCAGGCUCCCUCCUGCCUCCCUUUGCUUAGUGGGUGGGAGGUCUCAAUCCUACCCCCACCCAAUUCCACUUUCUCUAAUUCCUGUCCUUGUGUUGUGGAAGUGGCACUUCCUACCGGAAGCCUUUCAUGACCACCCCACUCCUUGCCCACCUUGACCACCUCUCCCAUGUGCUCCUGCAGAGAAGUGAAAAGUACAGACUGCAGCCCACUUACAGGUAUGGAUAAGGCUGUGGUGAGAGUCAGUAAGUUAAUACAUACAUUGUAAGUGUCAGAACAGUGCUGCUGGUUAGUGACAGCUAUUGUCCUUGUGACUAUCCUUACCAUCUUACUCCUAUUGUCUAUCACCGGAUUAUCUGGGAAACUGUAUGAAAGGUCACAGGAGUGACCAUGAGGUCCCUGGGAGCAGGGACUGUGUCUAUUUCUCUCCUGAUUUCUGUAGCUCCUAAAUAAUGCCCAUACACACAUAGUUAGGGUCUGUGUAGGAAUAAAUUAAGGAAUGGACAAAUAUGGCAUGGUAGGCUGAAAAAUGCCCCCUUAAAUGAUAUCUAUAUUCCAAUCCCUGUACAUCAGUGGUCCCCAACCUUUUUUGGCACCAGGGACUGGUUUCAUACAAGUCGGGGGAAGAGGGUCUUGGGAUGAAACUGUUCCAACUUAGAUCAUCAGGCUUCAGAUUCUCAUAAGGGGUGCGCAACCUAGAUCCCCCUCCUGCGCCAUUCACAAUAGGGUUCCCGCUUCUAUGAGAAUCUAAUGCCACUGAUCUGACGGAAGGUGGAGCUCAGGCGGUAAUGCCCACUCACCCGGCGCUCACCUCCUGCUGUGGUUCCUAACAGGCCAUGAACUGGUAAUGGUCUGCAGUCUGGGCGUUGGGACCCCUGCUGUAAAUGUUACCUCAUUAGAAAAAGGGUCUUUGCAGAUGUAAUUAAGGAUCUGGAGGCUGGGCGUGGUGGCUCACGCCUGUAAUCCUAGCACUUUGGGAGGCUGAGGCAGGCAGAUUGCUUCAGUCCAGUAAUUCGAGACCAGCCUAGGCAAUGUGAUGAAAUCCUGUCUCUACUAAAAAAUACAAAAAUUAGUUGGGCAUCGUGGCAUGUAUCUGUAGUCUCAACUACUCAGGAGGCUGAGGCAGGAGGAUGGCUUGAGCCAAGGAGGUGGAGGUUGCCGUGAGCCCAGAUCAUGCCACUACAGUCCAGCCUGGGUGACAAGAGUGAGACCCUGCCUCCAAAAAAAAAAAAAACAAAAAAAAAACUAACAACAAAAAAAACAACAGGAUCUGGAGACAGGGGGGUUAUUCUGGGUUAGCUAGGUGGACCCUUAAUGCAAUCACACAUAUCUAUAGGAUGGAUCAGAGGCAGAUUUGACACAUAAAGAGAGGGUAAUGUGACCACAGAGGCAGAGAUUGGAGUGGUGCAGCCAUAAGCCAAGGAGCAACAGCAGCCAUCAGAAGAGGCAAGGAGCAGAAUCCCUCCCAGAGCCUCUGAAGGGCCCACAGCCCUGCUGAUGCCUGGAUUUUGGCCUUCUGGCCUCCAGAACUGUUACAGAAUAAAUUUCUGGUGUUUUAAGCCACCAAGUUUGUGGGAGCUAGCACAGCAGCCAUGAGAAAUGAAUACAGAUGGGAUGAAUAUCAUGUGGAAGUUAUCAAAGAUUAUGAAGAGCCAGGCUUUGGAAUUCAAAACAGCUGAGCUGGGCACCAACAUCUGUUGCUCUUUUAGCCCCAUGACUCUGGUCAGGUUAAUUUCUCUAAGCUUCAGUUUUUCUACCUUGUAGAGGUCCUUCAGGCUUUUAAUUUAAAAAAGAUUGCGUCAUGCCUCGCCCAGCGCUUGGCACAGUACCUGGCACCUGGGUGGUGAUUAUGUGUGUCAGUAUGGAGCAGUUUAGAACCAGUCUAAAAGGGGGAACAUUUCUGUAUUUUCAUCUGUGAGCCUUGACUUCAUUGUCCAUGUUGUCUGGAAAUGGGGCAGGAUUCAGUUACUUCCUGUUCACAACCUGCUGGGUUUUUUUAAACCCAUGAAUAAUUAUCACUUUGAAGGGGAAGAAGGUGCCGUGAACUUAUUUUCCUUCUUCACUGAUCCCAGAAUAUGUUUCUGUGAGCAAAAGCAGAGAGGCCCCUGCUUGGAGACACAGCCAGCCCUGCCUGUGGAGUGCUGAGGACCCUGGCUGGACUAGGGCACACUUGGGGUGCAGGGGGGCACCUUGAGACCUCAUCUUUCCUCUGCUGCAUGAGCUGUUGAUGUGAGGGGUAUCCAGAAUCUUCUCUGACCCUUAGAAGCAGGACCGGCUGAUUGCUAAAAUUCCUUCCGGGAUUCUAAGAAGAAAUGCCAAAACCUAACUUAUUCUACCCAACUGGGCUCCAGAUCCUUCUGUCAGCUGCAGAAAUGGCCCCUGAAACUAACUUCCAGGCAGGGCACCAAUAUUUCCCUCCUGGCUUAGGAAGCAGUGUCCUUGGUGAGUCAAAUCCACUCACAUUCCCUGGCUUUGAGCCUUCUCUACUGCCCACUUCUGCCUAAAAGAAAAACUCAAUCCUCAGGGUGAGCGGCAAGCAGGAAGGCCCUUUACAGCCUGAUGCUCUCCAUUCUGUAAAACAUGGCUGGGCAGUAACAUCAUCUACUAUACUCAGUUUACAUUUAUUGAGCACUUACUAUAUCCCAGGCAUUGUGUGGCAUAGACUCCAAGACAGUGACUCAACAUGGAAUUGAUCAGUGAAAUGCCUGGCUUGCCUUGCAUAUGCUGUUCCCUCUGCCUGGAUUGUCCUCCCUCCACCACCCCCACUGCCAUCCUUCAAAUGCCACCCCCUCCAAGAAGCCUUCCCUGAGUCAGCUGCCCUUACUGCUCUGCCCUCACAGAACUUUGCAGACUCUACAGUGUGUUCGUGAUGCACACACAGGGAUGCUCUGCCCAUCAGCUGUCUCCCCUGGCCAGGGCGCCCAGAUGUCUUCUCAGGGAUGAUGGGAUCAUUCCAAGAUUAGGAAAACAGACACAGGGUCAAGAGCCGAGAGUUAAGAGGCAGGUGAAGGAAGUGCUGUCAGAGCCAUAGGAGGAGCGGGAACAGGUGCCUGGAAGCCAAAAGAGGUGAGGAAAAUGACUGAAUUAUAGUUAAAUGUGCACAUCCUUCACCAUGUAUUUCUUUUUUUUUUGAGAUGGAGUCUCACUCUCGUUGCCUAGGCUGCAGUGCAAUGGCGUGACCUCAGCUCACUGCAACCUCUGCAGUGUUCAAGCGAUUCUCCUGCCUCAGCCUCCCG